rnacentral:piRNA from 1 species
UACAGCCACAGCAAGGAGCCCGACAC